rnacentral:rRNA from 1 species
UGGUCAAUGGGCGCGAGCCUGAACCAGCCAAGUAGCGUGGAGGACGACGGCCCUACGGGUUGUAAACUCCUUUUAUAAGGGGAUAAAGUUGGCCAUGUAUGGCCAUUUGCAGGUACCUUAUGAAUAAGCAUCGGCUAAUUCCGUGCCAGCAGCCGCGGUAAUACGGAAGAUGCGAGCGUUAUCCGGAUUUAUUGGGUUUAAAGGGAGCGUAGGCGGGCAGUCAAGUCAGCGGUCAAAUGGCGCGGCUCAACCGUAACGUUCCGCCGUUGAAACUGGCAGCCUUGAGUAUGCACAGGGUACAUGGAAUUCGUGGUGUAGCGGUGAAAUGCUUAGAUAUCACGAGGAACUCCGAUCGCGCAGGCAUUGUACCGGGGCAUUACUGACGCUGAGGCUCGAAGGUGCGGGUAUCAAACAGGAUUAGAUACCCUGGUAGUCCGCACAGUAAACGAUGAAUGCCCGCUGUCGGCGACAUAGUGUCGGCGGCCAAGCGAAAGCGUUAAGCAUUCCACCUGGGGAGUACGCCGGCAACGGUGAAACUCAAAGGAAUUGACGGGGGCCCGCACAAGCGGAGGAACAUGUGGUUUAAUUCGAUGAUACGCGAGGAACCUUACCCGGGCUUGAAUCGCAGGUGCAUGGGCCGGAGACGGCCCUUUCCUUCGGGACUCCUGCGAAGGUGCUGCAUGGUUGUCGUCAGCUCGUGCCGUGAGGUGUCGGCUUAAGUGCCAUAACGAGCGCAACCCCCCUCCCCAGUUGCCAUCGGGUAAUGCCGGGCACUUUGGGGACACUGCCACCGCAAGGUGCGAGGAAGGUGGGGAUGACGUCAAAUCAGCACGGCCCUUACGUCCGGGGCUACACACGUGUUACAAUGGGGGGUACAGAGGGCCGCUGCCCGGUGACGGUUGGCCAAUCCCUAAAACCCCUCUCAGUUCGGACUGGAGUCUGCAACCCGACUCCACGA